rnacentral:rRNA from 1 species
UACGAAGGGGGCUAGCGUUGUUCGGAAUGACUGGGCGUAAAGCGCACGUAGGCGGCUUGUUUAGUCAGAGGUGAAAUCCCGGGGCUUAACCCCGGAACUGCCUUUGAUACUGGCAAGCUUGAGUCCGGAAGAGGGUAACGGAAUACCCAGUGUAGAGGUGAAAUUCGUAGAUAUUGGGUAGAACACCAGUGGCGAAGGCGGUCACCUGGUCCGGUACUGACGCUGAGGUGCGAAAGCGUGGGGAGCAAACAGG